AUCCAAAUAGCUCAGUUGGAAGACCGUUAGACUAUAGUUCGAAAGGUCCCUGGUUCAAUCCCGGGGUUCGGCAA
rnacentral:tRNA from 1 species